rnacentral:tRNA from 2 species
GGAGGCGUGGCUGAGGGGUUUAAGGCGUUUGUCUUGAAAACAAAAGACCGUGAAAGCGGUCCGUGAGUUCGAAUCUCACCGCCUCCG